ensembl:lncRNA
CUUUAACAGUCGCUCAUGUGAACAUUACAGAUAGUUGAUAAUGUGUCGCCCCAUGCACUGCCUGUGUUUACCACUUUAUCAAGGGGGUGUGGUAUAUUUAAACGAAAAGGCUCGAGGGGAUGUGGUAUAUUUAAGCGAUAAGGCACUAGGGGGUGUGGUAUAUUUAAACGAAAAGGCACUAGGGGGUGUGGUAUAUUUAAGCGAUGAGACUCAAGGGAGUGUGGUAUAUUUAAGCGAUAAGGCACAAGGGGGUGUGGUAUAUUUAAGCGAUAAGGUACUAGGGGGUGUGGUAUAUUUAAGCGAUAAGGUACUAGGGGGUGUGGUAUAUUUAAGCGAUAAGGUACUAGGGGGUGUGGUAUAUUUAAGCGCAAAGGCUCGAGAGAGUGUGUUAUAUUUAAGCGCAAAGCCUUGAGGGGGUGUGGUAUAUUUAAGCGAUAAGGCACUAGGGGGUGUGGUAUAUUUAAGCGAUAAGGCACUAGGGGGUGUGGUAUAUUUAAACGAUAAGGCACAAGGGGUGUGAUAUAUUUAAGCUAUAUGACACAAGGGGGUGUGGUAUAUUUAAGCGAUAAGGCACUAGGGGGUGUGGUAUAUUUAAGCGAUAAGACUCAAGGGGGUGUGGUAUAUUUAAGCGAUAAGGCACUAGGGGGUGUGGUAUAUUUAAGCGAUAAGGCACUCGGGGGUGUGGUAUAUUUAAGCGAUAAGGCACUAGGGGGUGUGGUAUAUUUAAGCGAUAAGGCACU